GAUGAACGCUGGCGGCGUGCCUAAUACAUGCAAGUCGAGCGAACAGACGAGGAGCUUGCUCCUCUGACGUUAGCGGCGGACGGGUGAGUAACACGUGGAUAACCUACCUAUAAGACUGGGAUAACUUCGGGAAACCGGAGCUAAUACCGGAUAAUAUAUUGAACCGCAUGGUUCAAUAGUGAAAGACGGUUUUGCUGUCACUUAUAGAUGGAUCCGCGCCGCAUUAGCUAGUUGGUAAGGUAACGGCUUACCAAGGCAACGAUGCGUAGCCGACCUGAGAGGGUGAUCGGCCACACUGGAACUGAGACACGGACCAGACUCCUACGGGAGGCAGCAGUAGGGAAUCUUCCGCAAUGGGCGAGAGCCUGACGGAGCACCGCCGCGUGAGUGAUGAAGGUCUUCGGAUCGUAAAACUCUGUUAUUAGGGAAGAACAAAUGUGUAAGUAACUAUGCACGUCUUGACGGUACCUAAUCAGAAAGCCACGGCUAACUACGUG
rnacentral:rRNA from 1 species